GCCAGCUUAGCUCAGUUGGUAGAGCAGUUGACUUGUAAUCACCAGGUCGCCGGUUCGACUCCGGCAGCUGGCUCCA
rnacentral:tRNA from 1 species